UAUACUACUGUCUAAAAAACCGUGUCCUAUUAGGACUCUCUCUCCCAGUAGAGAUUGCAGACAAAACCAAUUCCCAGUACAUAUAUAUGCAUCUCUAAAAGACACUGCUGCCAGACGCAUCAAACUCCACACAAGAAUCACAGAGUUAUACAUACAUACACAAUGUCUAAUCGCUACACACACAACAAAAACGAAGGCUCAAGAGGCGCAUUCAAUCCUAGAAAACAACAAUUCGUCCCCCAAAACCCUAAUUCAUCAGCACAAAAACUCUCCGAUUCUCUCCGUCACUCCGAUCCGGCGCCGUCACAUCGUCUGCGACCGCCGGAAACAGGCUCACACGGAAAGACGGCGCUUCGGUGCCUCAUCAGACGCGGAGUGGCAAUUUUGUAAAAUAUUUGCCACAUGAUGAGGCGGUUGCUUCUGGAUUGGCUGCUGAUGAAGGUGGAUUGGAUCCUAUUGAGUCGCAACGUGUUGUCGAUUUGCUUAAUCGAGAAUUGUCGCGUUUGCUGAAAUUAAAUCCUCGGGAAUUCUGGAAAGAAGUGGCGGGUGAUACAUCCUUGCACGAUUUUCUAGAAAGUUUCCUGAAAUCUAGAACUAGAUGGUAUGAUUUUCCAUAUCGCGGAGCUAGAGGAAUUGUUGCAGGAACUAUUGUUGGGGAGUAUGAAUUAAGUAGGCGUGUCUAUAUGGUACUAUAUCGAAUAUCUUCCACUCGAGAUCCAGGAGCUAAGGCUGGGGAUAGUCUUAGUCCAAAAGAUCAUGCAGG